UUUUUUUACGAAACCAAUGUCCAGGUAUUUUUGAUUUGGACACCCGUUGUGUUGAGCCUUGCCGAACUCUUCAAAUGGGCCCUAAUUUAAGAUGGGCUUUGCUUGUGAGUCAUUUUCCUUGGUCUACCAUCCAUCGAGACCCUUUUAGAGGCUCGAAUUGAUUCAGAGGCCCAGCUACUAUUUCCUCUGUUCCACUUCUAUUUUGUUCUUCCACUUCUGUAUUCUUCUUUUCCUUUUCACUUCUUCCGUUUCUUUCUUCUACUGUCUUGGACAAAGUCCAGAACCAAACUGGAAUCCACCUUGACUGAAACUGAAUUGGAGAUUGGAGAUGGGUACAUAAGAGCUUCCACAAAGCCAAUGGGAGAUGGGGCUGGGUCUUUAUUCUUGGCGAAAGAAGACAACCUCUUAUUUUGUUAUCUGAGUUUUCUCAGGCCAGCGGUACAUUUGUGAGGCCGAAGUGGUGGCAUCUCACAGCAGUAAAUUGGAACACCGUCAUCCAAAAGAAGAAAGCAUGCGAUGUUGGAAUCAUGGUCGGGGAUCGCUGUUUCUUAUUGUUUCAUUUGUAGAGCAGCGACAUGAUGUCAACCAAAUGUUUGAUGAAAGGUCGAAGACGAAUUAUGCAGCAAUCUCCUUGCUAAAUUCUGGCAGAGAUUUGUUGCAGGCUUCGGUCAAAGCUUUGUGUCACUGCUGGAACUUGAGAGCAAAGCCCCUGCUGCUAGGAUUUUAUGAACCAACAGUAGUCACCCGGAAUUUGAGGGCAAAAAUGGUGCCCGAAGGCGUCGCUGGAGCUCGACGAUGAUACGGCACCCUAAGGCACGCCGUGCAGGAGCUCGACGACAACAUCGGCACCCUAAGGCACGCCGUGUCGGAGCUUGAAGAUGAUACGGCACCCUAAGGCACGCCGUGCAGGAACUCGACGACAAUAUCGGCACCCUAAGGCACGCCGUGUCGGAGAUACGGCACCCUAAGGCACGCCGUGUCGGAGCAUAUAUGAUAUGAUACCCUACGGUAUCGCUGGAGGCGAUGGAGGCCUGCAUCAUUUGAGCAAAGGAAAGGGUUAAUUGCGCGCUUACUUUUAGCGUACCAGGAGCAGGACGACGUUGUUUGGAUUUGAAAUCGAUUUCGAGCUUGGAAAAUGUUGAAAAUGGAGCAUGCGGUCGUUCCCAUGAGGAGGUGCUGGAGCACGUGUUCUCGUUCCUGCAGUCGGACGGCGACCAAAACUUGACCUCGAUGGUGUGCAAGUUGUGGUAGAUGAUCGAGCGGUGAGCUGAAAAUUCAGAGCUUUGGUUUUUGCAUUAUCGGUAAUUUGUGAGUGAUUCUUAUCCUUUCUUCAAUCGCAUUGGAAAUUUUCAUUUUUGUUUUUACUAUUCUCGCUGUUCCUUUGUGUUUUGUAUGAUUAUUGGUAACUUCUCUGUGAAACUGUGAAAGAGGAAAAUGAAGCAACAUGUUUGAUCUGGAAGAAUUUGUCUAGAUGAUUUAGCAUCACGCGACUUUCUUUGGUUUGAGUUUGAAUCAUGAACACUUCGAUGAAGCAAUCCGAUGAAGAAUAUGGCCGGAGGUUGCAGGAAUUUCAGGCCGAAUUAAUUAGGCAUAGAUUUUUGUGCAGAUAAAGUGUUUGAUGAGAUGCUUGUGAGAAAUAGUAGUGACCGCGAUUGUAGAUUGACUCUGUUUUUCAAUUUCUGAUUGUGUUUGUUUUGGUUUGGUGAAGGUUAGUUACCUUCAGAAUGAUAAUACUAUGCUGGAGAACAAGCAAAAAGAGCUGAAGGGAUACAUAGCUUACUUCAGUCUAUAGAAACUUUCAUGAAUGCUUAUGAGGCUAUUGUAGACAUAAUGUAGGAGCCAUAUAUUUUUGGAAGGAAUAAAGUUCAAACAAAUGCUCAAUGGCCAUGAAUGUGGGAGCCAAUCACAAAGCUGUGCAUCAUGAAGAUGGCAAAAAGAUAACCAGAGGGACUGACCUGGAGAGUGUGACCAUAGUUCAACGUGAUGCUUUACUGGUUUUCCGAACCCUGUGAUGGGCAUGAAGGAAGAUAACAAUGAAGUCACUUUGAAGACGAGGAUUUUAUCUCUUGAGCUUCUGCAGGGUUUGUUGGAAGGAGUUGGUCAUCCAUUUACUAGGAACUUCCAUUUUAUUGAUUCACUGAAAGCAUACCUAUCAAUCUAUCAUAUGCUUUGUUGCUAGCUUCAGUUUCGCCGUCCCCUAUCAUAUUACAGUAUGCAACUGGAAUUUUUUUUUAGUGCUUUUGUUGCGGUUUAGAGAAAGUCUCAAGGGUGAAAUAUGCAUCUUCUUUCCUUUGAUAGUUCUUCGGUCCCUGGAUGGCUUGGAUUUACCCAUGAACCAAAAAAUGAGUGUCCUUAGGAUGGUUGAAAAGGUUUGCAAGGAUCUUCAUAUGCUUGUUGAAAUAUUUGUGAACUAUGACUGUGUGAUCUUGAGGCACCGAACUUGUUUGAGCGGAUGAAUAUCUCAAGGGAUGCAAAAUGCAGAUCCAAUAUGGCUGUUGCGUCCCAGACUACUUCAAUAAAGGGUUCAUCUCUUCUGUGUCUUGUGAAUGUGCUUAAAUCACUCGUAGAUUGGGAAAAGUCAUGUGGAGAAUCAGAUAGAAUAAAAACACUCAGUCUUUGGAAGGAGAUGCUUCAGCUAAAGAGUCUGUUGAUGUGAAAAGCAGGCAAGAUGCAACCACUAACUUUGAGAAGGCAAAAGCUCAUAAGUCUACAGUGGAAGCUGUCAUAUCUGAGGUGGAAUAAAGUGAUGCUGUAUUACUAAUACUUUUGUAUCUCAAGUGCAUUUUUAUAAAUGGAAUAAAGAGAGGGGAAAAAAAUACAAACAGUACCCAACUUAUAGUCCACUCCGAAUUUCUAUACCCAAAUUUUCGAAACUAUCACAAUAGUACCCAAAAUAGCCAGCUCGACUUAAUAUUCGUACCUGCCGUCCAUGACGGCAUUAAACCGCAUGCCACAUGGAGUAUUUGAUGGAUAUUUGUGUCAUUUACUUACCCAGCCCUGUUCCCGAGUCCCCUUGCUUUCUCCGUCUCUCUCUCUCUCUGAGCAUGAACUCCAUCGUUGUCUAAAAAUACUCAAGCUCCUCAUCAUAUUCUCCUCAUCCCAAGCUACUUGAAUCUCAAUCGAAUCCAUACAUUAACUAGCAAUAUCCCAUCAGCUUUUGAAUUACUACUAUCUCUCUCUCUCUCACAUUACGAAACAAAGAAAUAAGCAAUGGCUCUAAUGAGACCUUUAUUGCUGUUAUGUGUUCUUCUUGUUCUCUCUUUGAGUUCUUCAUGUUAUAGUAGCAGCUUCUAAGAGAACUCAUUACUUCAUAUUUAUGUUGAUGAUGCUAAUCGUGAACCAACUGGCUCAGAGAGAAUUAUGAAUGGAUCUGUGGCUAUAGCAACUUGCAUCUUAGAAAGGAAUUGAAGUGGUUUCUUUUGGUGUCAGAAUCUGGGUUACUAGAGGAAAAUCCCAUUAGCCUCUCAAUCCAAUCCAUAAAUUACAUUCAAUUGCAUGUCCACAAGUCUAAAGAGAAGAAGAGCAGGACUCCGAUCUACCAGUCUACCAGAUUUCUUUGACCAACAAAAAAAUCAACCAGAUUUCAUGAAUCAAAAAUUCAAAAUCCAUCACCCAAAUCCUAGAAUCCAAACCCGAAUUUUACAAAGAUGCACAAUAACCUCAGAAUCUGCUUCCGGUCUAAACCUUGAGCUUGAAUCUGAACUCGUAGAUCUUCUUAGAUAGGUUUAGGGACAAGAAUGUAAAGCAAACAAAGCCCGACCCAGAACCCAGAUUCAAGAACGUGUUCUUGGCGAAAGAAGGUAAUAGCAGAUUUUGGGGUUUUGAAUUUCUCGCUGACGGCGCCAAACACGGGGAGGGAGAUCAUCAGAAGUCCGUCCCAGAUGGCAGAGACUUAAUCGGGAAUUUGGGGAAGAAGAAGAGAUAGAGAAGAAGCCGAUUCUUUUUUUUUUUGGAGAAUAAAAGCUGUCGGGCUUAAAAAUAGAGAGAGGAAAAAAAAAUUUUAAAAAAAAGUCUGAAUUAAGAUAAGAAGUGACCAAAAUAUCCCUUAAAAUAUGCCACCUGUCACAACAGUUAACGUCGUCAUAAACAGCAUAUACGAAAAUUGGGUAGGAUUGGAGACUCCAGGUACUAAUGUGAUAGUUUCGAAAAUUUGGGUAUAGAAAUUCGGAA